GAACAUUCCUAUAUAAAUGCCACACUCUUCUCCAUCAUCUCCCACGAAUUAUACAGAAACUCUAAUCUCUAUUUGGUGUGAAAAGAUAAUCAAAUCAGUGCAAGAAUGAGGGUUCUAGUGGUUGCUCUAAUCCUGAUGACAGUGAACUCUUGUUUGGCUGCAAACAGAAGGGUUUUAUUGGAUGACGCUGACCAACAAGCAGUACAGGGCGACCAAGGAUUGAUUGAGGAUGAGAAUAAUGUGAAAGUUGAGUAUCCGCCCAACGAUGUGAAUAACCACCACGAAUGCCCUAGGCCGGUUUUUAAUCAACGUGGAGGUGAAAAUUGCAAUAGCACUGGAUCGGGAGGCCCCACUUGUAUUUUAUAGCAUGGGCUUGGAACGAAGUUCGGAUCAUGAUCAACCUGAAAAAUAACAGUUGGACAGCCCGACUUACCAAUUUGGAGUUGAAUAUUGAAUAAAGGGAUAAUAUCAUUCUGAGGGCACGAGUUCUUCAAAACAACCCUUAGAGGACACAAAUUUCAUAAACAACAUUUAACAGAAACACGUUCAAUGUAUAUUAUAGGAAGAUCUUGGAACCAAGUUUCGGCUCAAAUCAACCUGGAAAAGGGGAACAGUAGGCUGGCCCAACAGCCCGAUUUACCAAUUUGGAAUAGACAAAUGUGGGAGUUGAAUAUAAUUUCCCUU